UAUGAGAUAAAUCCAAAAUAAAGUUUUAUUUUAUAACGAUAAAGUUGAAUAUAUUGUAUGAAAUUAUACGCACAUAAAAUUUAUAGUUUAAUUCUAACAGGUUUCAGAAAAUUUUAAUAUAAAGUAAAAAAAUUUCUUUUAAUAAAGGUUGUCGUUAUAAAGAACGAGUCCUUGGAUAUAAAAUGCAAAUGGAAACACAGAUGGACAAAAAAUCUGGCGUCCUUGGAAUUCGACACUUCCAAUGUGUUCUAUUAUUUUUUGCAUUAAUUUUUGGUUACUUUCUACGAGUUAACAUGUCGACAGCAAUAGUUGCGAUGACAGAUUUAGAUAUAAACCCGAACAUUGAACAUUUUAAUUAUACUCAAAAUGAAAAGCAACUAAUAUUAAGUAGCUUUUUUUGGGGUUACGCAGUUGCUCAGGUACCUUCAGGUGUAAUGGCAUCGUUUUGGGGUGGAAAAACUGUUUUGGCUUUUGGAACAAUCUUGUGUUCAAUUUUUACAGCUAUACUACCUCUACUAGCGAAAUACGGAAUUAAAAUUGUAAUAUUCUUACGAGUUUUAGCAGGACUAACUCAAGGCGUCGUAUAUCCAUGUGUGCAUACAUUACUCUCAAAAUGGGUUCCAAGUACAGAAAGAAGUUUUCUGGGAACUACAGUAUAUUCAGGAGCUCAACUUGGAACUGUUAUUAUGUUAGCGUCCAGUGGCGCACUUACUGAAUCGACAAUAGGGUGGCACUCUAUAUUUUAUUUGUCAGCCGCUAUAUCAUUUAUUUGGUCAAUUUUUUUUUUGAUUUUUGGUGCAGAACGGCCAGUUUCAGCAAAAUUUAUUUCAAAUAAAGAACGGGAGUACAUUGAAAUGUAUACUGCAGUUUCAAAAGAUGCUAAUACAAGUAAACAUGUCCCAUGGAUACAAAUAUUGCUUUCACCACCGUUUGUUGGAUUAUUAUUAGCCCAUUGCGGAUUUACGUGGGGAUUUUACACUCUGUUAACUGAAAUUCCAAUGUAUUUGCACCAUGUUCUUGAACUUGAUAUUUCCCAAAAUGCUCUUUUAUCAGCAUUACCAUACCUGACAAUGUGGAUUUUAUGUUUAGUAUUUAGUCCGUUUGCGGAUUUUUUAAUCAAUCAUCAGUAUAUUUCAGUUGAAUUUAGUAGAAAAUUAUUUAACUCUGUCGGUCAAUGGAUACCAAUGAUUUGCCUAAUAGGAUUAUCAUUUAUGACAAAAGAAACGACUAGCUGGGCUAUCAUAUUACUCACAUUAGCAGUUGGUUUUAAUGCCGCGCAAUUCUGUGGAUAUUUGGUGAAUCAUAUGGAUUUAUCUCCUAAUUAUGCUGGCCAAAUGAUGGGUAUUACUAAUGGGGUGUCAAAUUUAUUAUCAAUCGCUGCCCCUUUAGUUGUAGGAGCCGUAGUUACUGAAGAGAAUGAUACGUCGCAGUGGCAGAUUAUAUUUUUUAUAACAAGUGGAGUUUACUUGGUUUGUAAUAUGGCGUUUCUUUUGCUUGGAAAAAGUGAAAUACAAAAAUUCAACCACUACUACAGUAAAAAUGAAAGUUUGCAACAAAAAAAAUAAGAGCAAAUUUAGACACAUGAUCAGAAAAAUAUAUUAUUAAAUUUGGGUGUUCUAUUGAGUUUGUUUUUUCAAAUAGGAAACAUACUGAAGACUUACGAGUAAUUAGGAUAGCUUUUGAAAAAAUUAAUACUUAUUUCGGAAUAUAAAUUAUCUGAAAUGUGUGCUGCCAUUCGAAUUUUGUUAACUUUACUAAUAUUUUUGAAACAAAUUUUUAAAUUAACAGACGUUUAGCGUGUUGAAAAUUUUGAAAAAAGCUGAGCAAAGUAAAUCCUUGUUAAAGAAGUAUGAAGAAACACAAAAGCUAACACACUAUGAUAGAACUUGGGUCAUGCAUCAUAUUAUACAACAUGUGAUAGAAAAUGAGAAGAAAAUAAGCGUAAAUCAGUGAAGGAAUAUUUUCCCAACUGACUUAUACAUAUAUAUAAUUUUUGUCAAAUGGGCCUUUUAAUAUUUUACAAAACAAAACUUGUUGAAAACUUCAAAAAUAUAAAUCCUACUGAAACGAGUGAUGUCUUAAAGGAACUCAAGAAAAUUUCGGCUAAAUUAAAUUAUAUUAGGGAUUGGGAGCAAGUGCUAAAAAAAUGAAAGCAAAGAAUUUUGUAUAAGUAAAAAAAUUUGGACGAAAAUAAUAUGACUCUACAAGAAAUUUUAAAAAUUUGGCCAUUUUUUGAAUGAUGAAGAGCUCCUGAGUUGGUAAAUAUCCAUUAUCUGUUUUCGUACCCAGAAAACAAUUUAAAUUUUUCGAAAUGGGAAAAAUUUUGCGAGAUUGCAGAGAACAUUUUUUCUGAGACGGUUGAAGAUAUAAAAUGUAAGGGUUUCUUUAGAGAAAAGAGACAUUCUCUUAGCUCAGAUAACUUAAACAUAUAUUUCAUGAGAUUACUAUACGCAAUUUUAGUUCCUCACACUAAGGUUUUUCAAGGGUCCUUUAUAAAAUAUACGAUUGAAGAUUCUCGAGAAUUUUUCACCAUGCCUGUAUUUCAUACAAGUGAUGUAAAUAAAAUUAUUGCAGAAAAAAGAAUAAAUUGCUGACUUGAAAAGAAUAAAUUAGAUGACAUUAAAUUUGCUUUUGUGUCAUACGUCGAAGCGACACAAUUUUGCUUUAAGUUAAUUUACACGCUGAAUUUAAAAUAUCUAAAUAAAAGCGUUUCAUUUUGGACUUUCAUACAGAAAUUCCUUUAUGAUAUUCAAACGCAAACAAUAGCAAUACAUUUUAUAAAAGAUUUGAAUGAUCUUAUUUAAAUAUGUUAGUUUUCUCUAAUAUUUUCUAUGUCUAAAGUUUGUUUUGUAUUCUAAUAUUUCAGUUGUUAUGAAGUUGUAAGAUGAAAAAUAAAACAAUUUUAUAUAUUUUUUAAAUUUAAAUAUUUUCAAGGGUUAAAGAAGUUUAAAAUAUAAAUGAAAUCUUGAUUAUCGUAAUUAAAAUUAAACGUUAAGGUUAUUAAACUUUAAUUAAAAUUGUGUUAAGAGAUAAUAAUUAAAAACAAAAAAAUAAAUACUUAAAAAAAGAUAAGUUUAUAUUAUAUUCCAUUUCC